rnacentral:misc_RNA from 1 species
AAGCACGAGAAAAAUAGGAAAACCUGAAAGCAUCCAUUGGAUAACCACAAAGAAAUUUUUAUUUACAGAUAAUAAGUUAGAACUUAGAAGGGAAAUUAUUGAAAAAAUAGCAAAAUAAAACAAGUUUAAGUUAUACCUAGUCUAAAUAUCAGGGUAGAAAAGGAUGACAUAAGCUUUUACAAGAAAUACUAAAACACAAAAAGAUCAAACCGCCCACUUUUAUCUUGUCAAAAAUUAACAAGUGAGUCAUACACACACAUAUCAGAAUAGAAAUGCAGAGAGAGAGGAUACAAAAAUCUUGCAUGGUACAGCAGUGUGCCUACGUCCCCAAAGAGCGACUUGAAAUUAUCUGCUUAAAAGGAGGAAGUUGGAAGUGCCAAUUUUCCUUCUGCAAGUUGCAAUAGGACAAACUUACAAAAAUAACCCCCCAAUAAUUAGAACUACCUUAAGCUAAUAAGAGUUUACCAAACUGCAGGGGAUUCUACCCUUGCACCCACCUAUCUACUAAUAGGCUGCACCAAAGUUAGGAUAUUCCUCACCAUGGGGUUACCACCCUAUUGCCUAGAGUUUUAAGUGUACAAUAUCUUCUCUGAAUAUAAGCAACAAUCUCAACACAUCUUCCCAUUAUUAUGUUUUGAAUUUACUAUUUAAGGUCUUUAGCAACAUAAUACAGAUCCAGUCUUCUUGACCAAUCUUAUCUAUAUGAGGAGGUCUAUUGGAGCCUUGCAGAAAUCACAAGUUCGAUGAACUAUUGAGCCCUUGCAGAUUUUUCCACAAAUCGAUCCAACUAAAUUGAAAGUCAAAUUCAAAAUUGCAGCAUAAGUGAUUCAUGAUGGCUGACACCUUUAACAAAUGUGCUUGCUUAAAUAAUUUAUUUUUGAAUGGGGAUAGAUGGCUUAGAUUUAACUUCCAUAAUCGGAUUAAUUUGCAGAAUGACUGCAGCAGGGGAAGUCAUCAUAUAAACAGGAUGACAUAUAAGAAUUUUAUGAAGACUGCCAACCAAACAUCUUUUAUUUAGGAUUCAUUAUAAGAGUCUUUUUGGUUUUGGGGCUACAGGGGGUGGGGGGUAUUAGUAAAAAAUUCAAACUACUGCUUUAAGAAGCUGAAAAUUGCCUAUAAAACCAAUGAUUUUCACAACUUAAAAGCUCAUUAUAAAAUUUGCUAACUAUUGUCCUCUGUCUUUCACUCACAAGAUUUAACAACAUUGUAAUUAACUAGAAGGUAUAAUUCAACACUUCUUCAAACUAAAUAAAAGGAAAUAAAAGAAAUGUAAAAAGCUCCUCUGUCUCUAUGGCUACAUCAACAAGCAUAAAAAUCCUCUAUAAUUGUUCCUAUAAUUAUCCAUUUUUAUUAGAAAUGUGAUGCCAGAUUUUGAAACUCAAAGCUAUUCUAAAUAGU